AUUUACAGCUAUGCCACCCUGAACAAGUCUGAUCCCGUCUAAUCUCAGAAGCUAAGCAGGGUCGGGCCUGGUUAGUACUUGGAUGGGAGACCACCUAGGAAGGCCAGGUGCUGUAGGCA
rfam:Pteropus alecto contig90241, whole genome shotgun sequence.